rnacentral:rRNA from 1 species
CAGUCGCCGCGGGAAUACGUAGGGUGCAAGCGCUAAUCGGAAUUACUGGGCGUAAAGCGUGCGCAGGCGGUUUGUUAAGACAGAUGUGAAAUCCCCGGGCUCAACCUGGGAACUGCAUUUGUGACUGGCAGGCUAGAGUAUGGCAGAGGGGGGUGGGAUUCCGCGUGUAGCGGUGAAAUGCGUAGAUAUGCGGAGGAACACCGAUGGCGAAGGCAGCCCCCUGGGCCAAUACUGACGCUCAUGCACGAAAGCGUGGGGAGCAAACAGGAUUAGAUACCCGAGUAGUCCCUGUCUCUUAUAC